rnacentral:rRNA from 1 species
AGUGAACGCUGGCGGCAGGCCUAACACAUGCAAGUCGAACGGCAGCACAGUAAGAGCUUGCUCUUACGGGUGGCGAGUGGCGGACGGGUGAUGAAUACAUCGGAAUCUACUUUUUCGUGGGGGAUAACGUAGGGAAACUUACGCUAAUACCGCAUACGACCUACGGGUGAAAGCAGGGGAUCUUCGGACCUUGCGCGAUUGAAUGAGCCGAUGUCGGAUUAGCUAGUUGGCGGGGUAAGGGCCCACCAAGGCGACGAUCCGUAGCUGGUCUGAGAGGAUGAUCAGCCACACUGGAACGGAGACACGGUCCAGACUCCUACGGGAGGCAGCAGUGGGGAAUAUUGGACAAUGGGCGCAAGCCUGAUCCAGCCAUACCGCGUGGGUGAAGAAGGCCUUCGGGUUGUAAAGCCCUUUUGUUGGGAAAGAAAAGCAGCAGGUUAAUACCCCGCUGUUCUGACGGUACCCAAAGAAUAAGCACCGGCUAACUUCGUG